AAUGCAAGUCGAACGAUGAAGCCCAGCUUGCUGGGUGGAUUAGUGGCGAACGGGUGAGUAACACGUGAGUAACCUGCCCUUAACUCUGGGAUAAGCCUGGGAAACUGGGUCUAAUACCGGAUAGGAGCGCCUACCGCAUGGUGGGUGUUGGAAAGAUUUAUCGGUUUUGGAUGGACUCGCGGCCUAUCAGCUUGUUGGUGAGGUAAUGGCUCACCAAGGCGACGACGGGUAGCCGGCCUGAGAGGGUGACCGGCCACACUGGGACUGAGACACGGCCCAGACUCCUACGGGAGGCAGCAGUGGGGAAUAUUGCACAAUGGGCGAAAGCCUGAUGCAGCGACGCCGCGUGAGGGAUGACGGCCUUCGGGUUGUAAACCUCUUUCAGUAGGGAAGAAGCGAAAGUGACGGUACCUGCAGAAGAAGCACCGGCUAACUACGUGCCAGCAGCCGCGGUAAUACGUAGGGUGCGAGCGUUAUCCGGAAUUAUUGGGCGUAAAGAGCUCGUAGGCGGUUUGUCGCGUCUGUCGUGAAAGUCCGGGGCUUAACCCCGGAUCUGCGGUGGGUACGGGCAGACUAGAGUGCAGUAGGGGAGACUGGAAUUCCUGGUGUAGCGGUGGAAUGCGCAGAUAUCAGGAGGAACACCGAUGGCGAAGGCAGGUCUCUGGGCUGUAACUGACGCUGAGGAGCGAAAGCAUGGGGAGCGAACAGGAUUAGAUACCCUGGUAGUCCAUGCCGUAAACGUUGGGCACUAGGUGUGGGGACCAUUCCACGGUUUCCGCGCCGCAGCUAACGCAUUAAGUG
rnacentral:rRNA from 1 species